GUAGAAUAAAGCAGAGAGAACGCACAAACACGGAGCUCAGCAAAUUCUGUCUCUCAUCAUCAAUUUCCAGGAGCUUCUGGGUCGCGAUUCCCUCUUCGUACUCGGCCACCUCCAGUCCACCAGUAGCCGCCGCUCGUCUCCGAUCGCCGACCACCGUAAAGAAGAGAGUAUAGGGAAGGAGUUCUCAUGUUUAGUUGUGAUUCUCUCUUGAUUUCCUCUAUGAAUCCUCACUUCUCUCUCUCUCUCUGUCGCUGAUUGCCUUCGCAGGCCACUUCCCCAGCACCACCAGCUUCGCAGUCACAGUAAGUGCUCCGUUCGCCCCUAAUUCGCAUACUCUGUUUCUGCUGAAGGUAGGGACUGAGUGCUCGAUUACCCUGCAUGAAUUCCGGUGGCGUUCGAGCCUCUGUGAUAAGUCUGGAUAUGACCUCUCUCUUAUUUCUGCAUCUAGAUCCUUAGGCCGAAAUUUCCACCACCUGUUUGAUAAAAUUCCUGAACUAGAUCAGUGCGUGUUUUGAUUCAGAUUCUGACAUAGGACUUUCCAUUGCUUAAUCAAUUCAUUAUUUUUGUCGUAAAAAUUUACUUUUGUUUCGUUUCCUUUCAUUUCAGAAUUUAGUGCUAUUCAUUUUAGAUUUGUUAUUGAAAUUCUCGGACUAGAUGCGUCUCCAGUGUGUACGCAAGAUGAAUCUGAUACUGACUACUCCAGAACAUGAACGAGGGCCCCUUGAAGGAAAACGAAUUGAUCCGUGCAUGUUUACUUCUUAUACUUCACUAUAUGCCAUUCUGUGUUUAAUGUGCCGAAUCACAAACAUAAUAUGAAAAAAUGUUGCUUGUUUGCUCUCUGUACGUGUUGAAAUCGCAAGUGUAUUGAGCGAAUGCUACCAUCUCGAAUACUGAUUGCAUGCUGCAGGAGCAUUCAGUUGCUGCUCUAGUCAUCGUAUGUGCAUUCAUUUGGGUGCACUGUGUUACUGAUUGGUUCAUCAGCUGUAUUUCUAUUUCGGAUAUGCUGAGUUGCUGAUGUGAUUACUGUGUUGUGUUCGUACCGAUGUGUAGAGUUACGGGUUAUGUCUAUACCGUUCGUGCUUGCUGUUCGUAUGUUCUGGUAUGCGUAAUCAUGUAAUUGUGUCAUUUGAUGUGCUAUUCGUUGAUGCUAAGUGCUUGCUGUCCAGAUCUUCUCUUUCAUUUUUUCCUAUUCUAGUUGAGAGCGUUACUACAUUAUUGGAGCCUCUAGUGUCGUGCUCGUGACUAAAGGAUUCGAAGUUAUAAUGGCCAGUAUGAGGAGACCAUUGUCGUGGCAUCCAUGUGACCAAUUGGUAAAUCGUUAUAGGUUUAUAAUUCAAUCGGUAUAAUUGAAAUAUUUAUGACUAAAUUGGCACAAUUGUAAUAAGUUUAAGAUUUUUUUGGUACUUCCUCUUGGAUAAUUGGUGUAGUAUAUACUAAUUAAUAUAUCAUACUUAGCUCAUACCUCAAUGGCAUAAGUUUUUGAAUAAAUGUGUGUUUAACUAAAUAUGUUGACUAGCUUAGACUUUGGACUCUUCCUUGGAGAUAUUCUUAAGUAAAGCUCUCCUUUAGUGAUCUCCCCAGAUAAAUGUAUUAGCCUUUUGCCAUACAACCCCAAAUGUUGUUUGUCAAGUUCAAUCGGGCUACCUGACCAUGUGUUUGUACAAGAACAAUCGCAUAUCAUAAUUAGAUAUUUUUUUGACAGUGGGAACUUGGUUAAUAAGGGUGCGUAUGACAAAAUUUCUAGAAUAUAAAUCAAUUUAUGUCUAGAAAUUGAUUUAUCAAUUUAUAUUCCCUGAACGAGUUUCUGAGCAAAAUACAAUUAUGUUAUAAAAUGGAUUUAUAUGUCAAACUUAUUUCGGGGAACAAAAAAACAAAUAAAUAAAGAAACAUAAAGAAAAAAAGAACACCUAAAGUGCCAAAAUUUGGCAUAAGAGAACACUAAAGUACAAAAAUUUUAAAAAAUGGCAUUUGAGUAUCACUUUUUUUUUUUUAUGGGACACUUAAAUGCCAAGUCUGGCGAAGGUGGCCAAAAAUCAACAACAACAACAACAACUGCUGCUGCUGCUUCAAUGUCAAAUUUGUGUUCAUUUAACAUUUUUUCACUCAAAGGUUUGGUACUACACAUUGGCUGUAGGACUCGCUCUCAUAAAUAUUAGAUCUGAGAUUUUUCAAUAUGUUUAUGUCGUUUUUUUAUGAUAAUGGUGCUGGAGACGUCGAACCUAGGCACACAUCGCUGAAAGGCAAAACCGUAAUUACGAGUAGAGAUUUCGGUGUGUGCUUAUCAGUGAUGGUAUUGUGUGAUUCUAUGAUUAGCCAUUGAUCCUUUUGCUUGAAUCCAGUUACAAAAAGAUGAGCUUGUGACAAUCUCUGCUGUUACAAAUCUGUUUUUAAAUGACGAAUUUGUGAUGAUCUCUGCCAACGCCUUGAUUUUUGAUCUUUUGUUUAUUUUGGAGAUUUAUCGUUUGUUUUGUUAUUGUGACUUUUGAGAUUGCCUUUCACGUAUAAGUUUGGUAAUGAAUGUAAAUUUCUUUUUGACCAAGAAAAAAAAACACCCACACACGUUCACAUGAGCAUUCCGCUUUUGUUUUAUUCUUGCAUACUCACAUGACACGCGAACACAACUUCCUUUUCGUCUUUAUAUGAUUUGUCUGCAUGCGUCUGCUUCUUUAUUCCGCUUUUGCCCAUGCUUUUAGGAAGAGGAAUAUGACUCUUCUUUUCAUCAAGGCAGGGGAUGGAAUGGAGGAAACCUGAAUAAGGGAGGAUUAAGCUUAAUUCGGACAGAGCAAUUAAUGCCUGGAGAAAGAACCAGGAGCAAUAGGUCUUUUGAGAGACCAUCAGGGGAGCUGGAUAGCCAGUUUUCCUCGAAACACAGGAAGACGAAUGCUUUUAUUGCUGAGAUUUGGACGUUAAAAGGCAAAAUUAGACCAGUGCUUUGAAUACUGCUAUUCAUUUGCAUAAUGAAUUAGAAGCUUUAGCGAUUAUUUAUGCUUUUAAGAGCAAACGGUGUAACAAUCUUCUUAUGGAACCUCUCCUUGUCGAGUGCAGGAACUUGUGAGGGAAGAAUGGAGGCGUACUGUGAAUUGAGCAUAUACACAGAAGCAAACGGAUGCGCCGGAUGCUCUGGCUAGAUUGGGAAAGGAGCAGCAUGUGCAGUUUACUAUUUUCACUAGUAUUCGAGAUGUCAUCGAAGAUACUUAGUAUGAGGAUGCACUUGAUAGUAUUUCGAUUACGAGUAAUGUAACUUGACUGGUUUAAUUUUUGAACGAUGGUCUUCGUUUCACUAAAAGGAAAAGAAAACCCCCUUGGAUUUAUCUGAAUAUGAUCCAGACCAUCAUGAAAUGGCCGAACUCAUAAGUCCAACAAUUUGGAUAGUGGGCCUAAAAUCUGAC
rnacentral:lncRNA from 1 species